rnacentral:rRNA from 1 species
UACGUAGGGCGCAAGCGUUGUCCGGAAUUAUUGGGCGUAAAGAGCUCGUAGGCGGCCUGUCGCGUCGUUGCUGUGAAAUCCCGGGGCUUAACCCCGGGCGUGCAGUGGAUACGGGCUGGCUGGAGGCAGGCAGGGGAGAAUGGAAUUCCCGGUGUAGCGGUGAAAUGCGCAGAUAUCGGGAGGAACACCGGUGGCGAAGGCGGUUCUAGC